AUGGAGCCGACCUUGAAAUACCACCCUUUAAUGUUUGAUGUUCUAACGUUGACCCGUAAUCCGGGUUGCGGACAGUGUCUGGUGGGUAGUUUGACUGGGGCGGUCUCCUCCUAAAGAGUAACGGAGGAGCACGAAGGUUGGCUAAUCCUGGUCGGACAUCAGGAGGUUAGUGCAAUGGCAUAAGCCAGCUUGACUGCGAGCGUGACGGCGCGAGCAGGUGCGAAAGCAGGUCAUAGUGAUCCGGUGGUUCUGAAUGGAAGGGCCAUCGCUCAACGGAUAAAAGGUACUCCGGGGAUAACAGGCUGAUACCGCCCAAGAGUUCAUAUCGACGGCGGUGUUUGGCACCUCGAUGUCGGCUCAUCACAUCCUGGGGCUGAAGUAGGUCCCAAGGGUAUGGCUGUUCGCCAUUUAAAGUGGUACGCGAGCUGGGUUUAGAACGUCGUGAGACAGUUCGGUCCCUAUCUGCCGUGGGCGCUGGAGAACUGAGGGGGGCUGCUCCUAGUACGAGAGGACCGGAGUGGACGCAUCACUGGUGUUCGGGUUGUCAUGCCAAUGGCACUGCCCGGUAGCUAAAUGCGGAAGAGAUAAGUGCUGAAAGCAUCUAAGCACGAAACUUGCCCCGAGAUGAGUUCUCCCUGACUCCUUGAGAGUCCUGAAGGAACGUUGAAGACGACGACGUUGAUAGGCCGGGUGUGUAAGCGCAGCGAUGCGUUGAGCUAACCGGUACUAAUGAACCGUGAGGCU
rnacentral:rRNA from 1 species